rnacentral:misc_RNA from 1 species
UUGAAUAAACUUGGUUAGGUUGCUGCUGGCUCUUAGGAGCAUGUGCACACCGACUCCAUUUUUAACCACCUGUGCACCUUGCGUAGAUCUAUGUCUUUCGAGGAAACUCGGUUUGAGAAUUGCUGUGCGUAAGCCCAGCUAUUCUUGUAUUUAGGUCUACGUUUUCAUAUACUCCAUAUGAAUGUAUUAGAAUGUUAUAAUUGGCCUUGCGCCUUUAAAAUAAAUA